UUUUAUUUUUUACCUUUAUUUUAUUAGGCAAGUGAGUUAAGAACAAAUUCUUAUUUACAAUGACGGUCUAGGAACAGUGGGUUAACUGCCGUGUUCAGAGGUACAACGACAGAUUUUUACCUUGUCAGCUUGGGGAUUAGAUCUUGCAACCUUUCAGAUACUAGUCCAACGCUCUAACCACUAGGCUACCUGCUCUAACCACUAGGCUACCUGCUCUAACCACUAGGCUACCUGCUCUAACCACUAGGCUACCUGCUCUAACCACUAGGCUACAUGUCUCUAACCACUAGGCUACCUGCUCUAACCACUAGGCUACCUGCUCUAACCACUAGGCUACCUGCUCUAACCACUAGGCUACCUGCUCUAACCACUAGGCUACCUGGAUCUAACCACUAGGCUACCUGCUCUAACCACUAGGCUACCUGGCUCUAACCACUAGGCUACCUGCCGCCCCAUAUAUGAGAGGAGAUGGGAGGAGGAUAAUUGUACAAUACAGGUACCAUUCACUAAUGUCAUUACUUAUACCCGGAAAAUAUGAGGGGUAAGUGGAGAUAAUAUGAGAGGUAGGUGGAGAUAAUAUGAGAGGUAGGUGGAGAUAAUAUGAGGGGUAGGUAGAGAUAAUAUGAGGGGUAGGUAGAGAUAAUAUGAGGGGUAGGUGGAGAUAUUAUGUGGGGUAGGUAGAGAUAAUAUGAAAGUGUAAUUUCAUAGCAUGAAUGAUUUAAUCUCCCAAAGCCUGAUUUUUCCUGACAGUUGGCUCCGAUGUCUCGCUCCAUUAUGCAUGUCAUUUUGAUUCCUCCAACUGGGUCGCUGCUCGGCUCUAUCAGACCAAAGUGUUUGAAAUUGUCAGCAAGAGAAAGGCGUUGGUUCUCUCUG
rnacentral:lncRNA from 1 species